rnacentral:rRNA from 1 species
GUAGGGAAUAUUGGGCAAUGGUCGGAAGACUGACCCAGCCAUGCCGCGUGCAGGAAGACGGCCCUCUGGGUUGUAAACUGCUUUUAUCUGGGAAGAAAAAGGCCAUGCGUGGCAAAUUGCCGGUACCAGAUGAAUAAGCACCGGCUAACUCCGUGCCAGCAGCCGCGGUAAUACGGAGGGUGCAAGCGUUGUCCGGAUUUAUUGGGUUUAAAGGGUGCGUAGGCGGCUGAUUAAGUCAGCGGUGAAAGACUCCGGCUUAACCGGAGCAGUGCCGUUGAUACUGGUUAGCGUGAGUGUUGGAGGGGUACAUGGAAUUGAUUGUGUAGCGGUGAAAUGCAUAGAUACCAUCAGGAACACCGAUAGCGAAGGCAUUGUACUGGCCAACAACUGACGCUGAUGCACGAAAGUGUGGGGAUCGAACAGGAUUAGAAACCCGUGUAGUCC